UGGGGAAUUUUGCGCAAUGGGGGAAACCCUGACGCAGCAACGCCGCGUGCGGGAUGACGGCCUUCGGGUUGUAAACCGCUUUCAGCAGGGAAGACCAAGCGACGGUACCUGCAGAAGAAGCUCCGGCUAACUACGUGCCAGCAGCCGCGGUAAUACGUAGGGAGCGAGCGUUAUCCGGAUUCAUUGGGCGUAAAGCGCGCGUAGGCGGCGCGUCAAGCGGAACCUCUAACCCGAGGGCUCAACCCCCGGCCGGGUUCCGAACUGGCGCGCUCGAGUGCGGUAGAGGAAGGCGGAAUUCCCGGUGUAGCGGUGAAAUGCGCAGAUAUCGGGAAGAACACCGAUGGCGAAGGCAGCCUUCUGGGCCGCCACUGACGCUGAGGCGCGAAAGCUGGGGGAGCGAACAGG
rnacentral:rRNA from 1 species